rnacentral:rRNA from 1 species
UACAGAGGUCUCAAGCGUUGUUCGGAUUCAUUGGGCGUAAAGGGUGCGUAGGCGGCGCCGUAAGUCAGGUGUGAAAUCCCGGGGCUCAACCCCGGAACGGCACUUGAUACUGCGGUGCUCGAGGACUGGAGAGGAGACUGGAAUUCCCGGUGUAGCAGUGAAAUGCGUAGAUAUCGGGAGGAAGGCCAGUGGCGAAGGCGGGUCUCUGGACAGUUCCUGACGCUGAGGCACGAAGGCCAGGGGAGCAAACGGG